CCUACGGGGGGCAGCAGUGGGGAAUUUUGGACAAUGGGGGCAACCCUGAUCCAGCCAUGCCGCGUGAGUGAAGAAGGCCUUCGGGUUGUAAAGCUCUUUCAGCCGGGAAGAAAUCGCAUCAGCUAAUACCUGGUGUGGAUGACGGUACCGGAAUAAGAAGCACCGGCUAACUACGUGCCAGCAUCCGCGGUAAUACGUAGGGUGCGAGCGUUAAUCGGAAUUACUGGGCGGGAAGCGUAAGACAGGGGUGAAAUCCCCGGGCUCAACCUGGGAACUGCGUUUGUGACUGCACAGCUAGAGUAUGGCAGAGGGGGGUGGAAUUCCACGUGUAGCAGUGAAAUGCGUAGAGAUGUGGAGGAACACCGAUGGCGAAGGCAGCCCCCUGGGCCAAUACUGACGCUCAUGCACGAAAGCGUGGGUAGCAAACAGGAUUAGAUACCCCUGUAGUC
rnacentral:rRNA from 1 species